rnacentral:rRNA from 1 species
UGGGGAAUCUUGCGCAAUGGGCGAAAGCCUGACGCAGCAACGCCGCGUGUGUGAUGAAGGCCUUCGGGUUGUAAAGCACUGUCAAGAGGGAAGAAAUGCUGGGGGUUAAUACCCUUCAGCUAUGACGGUACCUCUGAAGGAAGCACCGGCUAACUCCGUGCCAGCAGCCGCGGCAACACGGGGGGUGCGAACGUUGUUCGGAAUCAUUGGGCGUAAAGCGCGUGUAGGCCGAUCGGUAAGUCGGGUGUGAAAGCCCGGGGCUCAACCCCGGAACUGCGCUCGAAACUACCGGUCUUGAGUACGGGAGGGGGAAGCGGAAUUCUUGGUGUAGGGGUGAAAUCCGUAGAUAUCAGGAGGAACACCGAUGGCGAAGGCAGCUUCCUGGACCGAUACUGACGCUGAGACGCGAAAGCGUGGGGAGCAAACAGG